rnacentral:lncRNA from 1 species
GCCUUAGACCCACCGCUACUGGAAGGUAACUCACCUCAAAGUAGCUGCUGAACUGAUCGGGAACUAACUGACUGCUGCUGCUCCGGGAGUCCUCCGGCUGCAAUUUCCACGACAUACUCAAUCAAACACUGCUAACUGUCCUUUAGGUAAAAUGACCAUUUUACCCCUGGAUUAACUCUAAGCCAAAGCUGGAGUCAACUUUCAGUUGACCCGACUCGCCGAGUGGAUCACCACUCGCCGAGUCCCUAGCAAACCAAUGUCCUGGGUCCCUGGUUCUACUCGUCGAGUCGGGCUAUGACUCGACGAGUUCACCUUCUAACUGCCAUUCAACACCUUCAUCCUACUCGCCGAGUUGUAUGAACAACUCGUCGAGUUCAUCUUCAUCCGAUGAACACUUUAUGCUAAGACUCGCCGAGUUGUAUGAACAACUCGCCGAGUCUGUUCUUGAGCUAUGAAGAUUGCCUUGGACUCGCCGAGUCAGGGCAUUGACUCGCCGAGUCCUAACAUGGGUGAGUUCAGCUCCCAACUCACCGAGUCACCCCCUGUGACUCAAGGCUCAACUCGACACAUGAAGAAGGGACCAAUUCGGUGACUCGCGACCAGACUCGCCGAGUCACCUAUGCGACUCGCCGAGUCGUCGCCAUGCACUCCUUAAAUAUACCGAUUUGCUCGGUUCCAGACCAUGCCAUUCAUAGAUCUGGACUUCUAGGACACGAAUCACACGUAAAGUUUCCAACUUUACGUGUGGAUAUUCACCAAUAUGGAUUAUAAGGCUCAAAAUGUCUCAAAAUGGUAGAUCUAGGGCUAACAAGCCUCAUGAGGCCAAAAAGCUAACAGAUCUGAGCUCCUGGAGCUCAAUCUUACAUAGAUCCAAAGGCCAAACGCCUUAUUACAACAUAUAAUGAACAUGCAAACUUGGGGAAUUGACCAAGAAGGACCCAAAUGAAGUUUUAAGCAUAGAAUCAAGGGGAAAACGGGUUAUACCUCAAAGGAAAUGUUGAAAUGACACAAGGAUGGCUGAUCUCCUUCUCCUCUUCUUGAUCUACUCCUCUUACUCUUCAAAACCUUCAAGAACACACCAAGAACACCUCAAACUCUCAAGGAAACAAGGGAAAACGAUGUAGGGGGAGUUCUGGGGGUGAAUGGGGACGAGUUGGGGCGGAAUGAGGGUUUAAAUAGGGUGCAAACCCUUGAAACUUAGGGUUUCAUCCCGCAGCGGUGACUCGCCGAGUCCAGGAUAUGGACUCGUCGAGUCGCCUACUUAAAACGCGUCCUGAGUCUCGUCCCUACUCGGCGAGUCGGACCCUAUGACUCGCCGAGUCUAAGGCUAAAUUAGGGCAAUGCUCAAAUAAAAUUCACAUACCGGAAACCAGGUGCUACAAAUCUCCCCCACUUAUUUUAGACUUCGUCCUCGAAGUCUGCUGCCUGAUCCUGAAACAGCUCGGGGUAGUGCUCCAUCAUCUCGUCUACCGGCUCCCAAGUCCACUCUGAACCCUUGCGGUGCUGCCAUUGCACCUUCACUAGCUCCACCCUCUUGUUCCUUAAAUCCUUCGACUUCCUGUCGAGGAUUGCGACUGGGCGCUCGAUGUAGUUCAGGCUGUCAUCAACCUGAAUAUCCUCCAAAGGUACUACUGCAGAAUCGUCCACUAGGCACUUCCGCAACUGCGAAACAUGGAAAGUGCUGUGGAUCUGGCUAAGCUCGGCUGGCAGAUCCAGCCUAUAUGCUACCUUGCCCACCCGGGCUAAGACCCUGAACGGUCCGAUGAAUCGCGGGCCCAACUUGCCCCGCUUCCUGAAUCGGAUGACGCCUUUCCACGGUGACACCUUCAGGAGGACCAUAUCCCCGACCUGGAACUCUAAAUCGGAUCGACGCUUGUCGGCAUAACUUUUCUGUCGACUCUGAGCAGUCUGAAGCCUGCUCCGGACCUGCUGUAUCCUCUCAGUCGUCUUGAGCACCACUUCGGUGCUUCCCAUAACUCUCUGGCCAACCUCACCCCAGCAUAUCGGGGUCCUACACCUCCGUCCGUACAACAUCUCGAAGGGAGGGCGGUCGAUACUCGCGUGAUAGCUGUUGUUGUAGGAGAACUCAGCCAAAGGAAGAUAGGUAUCCCAGCUACCACCGAAAUCCAGAACACACGCCCGCAACAUGUCCUCCAAAGUCUGGAUGGUCCGCUCACUCUGUCCAUCUGUCUGCGGGUGAAAGGCGGUGCUGAAAUGCAGACGAGUGCCCAACUCGUCAUGGAAUCUCUUCCAAAACCUGGAAGUAAAACGCACAUCCCUGUCCGAGAUCACCGAUACUGGCACCCCAUGCCGUGCCACAAUCUCCCUGAUAUAGAUGUCGGCCAAUUUCUCGGCCGAUAUGCUCUCCGGAAUCGGAAUAAAGUGAGCACUCUUGGUCAAUCUAUCCACGAUGACCCAAAUCGAAUCCACUCCACGCGCGGUCCUGGGAAGCUUCGUGAUAAAAUCCAUCGUGAUAUCUUCCCACUUCCACAGUGGAAUGUCCAACGGCUGCAUCUUGCCAUGCGGCCUCUGAUGUUCGGCCUUGACCUUCCUGCAGGUCAAGCACCGCUCGACGUACCAUGCCACAUCCCGCUUCAUGCAGGGCCACCAAUAGUCUAGACGAAGAUCCCUAUACAUCUUCGUCGCCCCGGGAUGAAUAGAGAAUCGGGACUUGUGCGCCUCCUCCAUCAAAAUCUGGCGCACGCCCCCGUGAUACGGCACCCACACCCUAUGGUGUAGUGUCAAUAACCCUCGGCUAUCAUAAUCGAAGGAGGAAACCUGACCUACUACGCGCUCGUUCUUCCGAUGCUCCUCCUUGAUAGCCUCCUGUUGAGCUUCCCGAAUCUGCUCCAACAGGGGAGUCACCACAGUCAUCCUCAAACAGGCGUCCCUGAUCGGCGCCGUCUUGCGGCUAAGCGCAUCGGCCACCACAUUGGCCUUUCCCGGGUGGUAAAGGAUCUCGCAAUCAUAAUCCUUCACCACAUCCAACCACCGACGCUGCCUCAUGUUCAGAUUCGGCUGGUCCAUGAGGUACCUCAAGCUCUUGUGGUCCGUGUAGAUGGUACACCGAACCCCAUAGAGGUAAUGUCGCCAAAUCUUGAGGGCAAAUACCACCGCCCCCAACUCCAAAUCGUGCGUCGGGUAGUUCGCCUCGUGAGGCUUGAGCUGCCUCGAAGCGUAAGCAAUGACAUGCCCCCUUUGCAUCAGCACCGCGCCCAACCCAGAAAUGGACGCAUCGCAAUAAACCACGAAAUCCUCUACGCCCUCUGGCAGGGCUAAGAUCGGCGCCUCACACAAUCUCUGUCUCAGCGUCUCAAAUGCAGCCUGCUGCUCGGGUCCCCACCGAAAGACCACGGCUUUCUUCGUCAGCCGCGUCAGGGGCACGGCUAUCUUGGAGAAAUCCUGGAUAAAUCUCCGAUAGUAGCCUGCCAAUCCUAGGAAGCUCCGAAUCUCAGAUGGGGACUUCGGAACCUCCCAUCUCAUCACGGCCUCGACCUUGGCCGGAUCGACCAGAAUCCCGUUCUGGUUGACGAGGUGCCCCAGAAAUUGCACCUCGCGCAACCAAAACUCACACUUGGAGAACUUGGCAUACAAGCUCUCCCUCCUCAGGGUCUCUAACACCUCUCUCAAAUGCUCCUCAUGUUCCUCCCGGGUCUUGGAAUAAACCAAGAUAUCAUCGAUAAAGACUAUCACAGACCGGUCCAGCAUCGGUCUGCAUACACGGUUCAUGAGGUCCAUGAACGCGGCAGGAGCAUUGGUGAGCCCAAACGGCAUCACCACAAACUCGUAAUGGCCAUAGCGCGUCCGAAACGCGGUCUUCUGCAUAUCCUCCUCCCUGACCCUCAUCUGAUGAUAACCCGAACGCAAAUCAAUCUUGGAGAACCAAGAUGCGCCCUGAAGCUGGUCAAAGAGGUCAUCAAUCCUCGGAAGCGGGUAACGGUUCUUCACCGUUACCUUGUUCAGCUCCCGAUAAUCUAUACACAUCCGAUGCGACCCAUCCUUCUUCUUCACAAACAGAAUCGGGGCUCCCCAGGGCGAACUGCUCGGCCGAAUAAAUCCCUUGUCCAGCAGCUCCUGCAGCUGCGUAGACAACUCCUGCAUCUCGGGAGGAGCCAACCGAUACGGUGCUUUGGCUAUCGGAGCCGCACCGGGAACGAGGUCAAUCCUGAACUCCACCUGUCGCUCCGGAGGUAUCCCAGGUAGUUCCUCCGGAAAAACAUCAGCAAAAUCUCGAACCACCGGGACCUCGCUCACGGUCGCCUUACCCGCCUCCCGGGUGUCCAUCACGUACGCGACAUAACCCGCGCAUCCCUGCUGAAGGUAGCGCCUAGCCCUCGCUGCUGAACAUACAGUGGGUCCACACUGCGGCCGCUCUCCAUGAAUCACUAACUCUCCCCCGCUUGGGGUCUUGACUCGCACUAGCUGCUGUGCGCAAUCUAUCACUGCCCCAUUAGGGCUCAACCAAUCCAUACCAAUAAUCACCUUGUUCCCACGCAAUGGAAUGGGAACCAAGUCUACCAGGUAACACUCCUCAAACAGUCGCAGGACACAAUCUCGAAACACCAUCGAUGCUCGCACCGAUCGAUCAUCGGCAAUCUCUACCUCUAACGGGCAAUCUAACUCGCCUGAAGUCUCAUGAAAUCUCUUGCUAAGAGCAAGAGAAACGAACGAUCGGGAUGCACCCGAGUCGAACAAUACCUGAACCGGGAUGCCGUUCACAUGGAACGAUCCUAAUACACAUGUAUACACACGGAGCACAUAUCAAUAUCAUAACAACGUAAAAUAAAAGAUAGAAGGAAGGAAUCAUACCCGUCACCACAUCGGGCGCGGCGCGUGCCUCCUCGGCAGUCAACUGAAAUGCCCGACUCCUCACCACUGGAGCCUCUGCCUUGCCCUGACGGCCAUCCGUGAUCCGCAGGGUCGCUGGAGCUGGCGCCUUCACUGGCGCUGAAGCUGUCAACAUGGGGCAAUUGGCCUUCUUGUGGCCCCUCUGGUUGCAGUGGAAACACAGCAACUCCGAUGUCUGAAUAACGGUCGCAGGAGCAGUGCAAUCCCUGCUGAUAUGCCCAAACUUGCCGCACUUGUAGCAGCCUGACGAUCCCAUCCUGCACGCCCCCUCGUGCGGCCUGCCGCACCUCCUGCAGCGGCUCGGUCCCGACUGGCCUUUCGGCCUCCCAUCUGAUCCCUUGGGCUUCUUCCCCGAAGCCCCCGAUGACUGACCAUCCUCAAGUUUCCGUUUCCGGAUGUGCUCCAAAUCUAUCUCUCUCUCCCUAGCCCUGGCAAUCAUGGAGUCCAGGGUAGGGCAAGCCGAAAAACUAACAUGCUCCCGAAUGUCAGCUCGUAGCAUAUCAUGGUAACGAGUCCUCCUCAUAUCCUCGUCACCUGCAUACUGGGGCACCAAUAAAGCCCUCUCCCGAAACUUGGCGGUGAUCUCCGCCACGGUCUCUGUCGUCUGCCUCAUGUCUAAGAACUCCCUGGCCAGCUGCUGAAGCUCGACCGCUGGCGCAAACUCUGCCCUGAACCUAGCCACAAAGUCCGACCAGGUCAUUGCCUCGAUAGCCGAGGCUCCCAUCGAGUCACCCACUGACUCCCACCAAUCUCGGGCCCGGUCCCGUAAACACCCUGCUGCGUACCUCACCUUCGACCCCUCGGGGCAGAAGCUGAUCAACUGGGCGGACUCGAUAUCCGCAAUCCACCGCCUGGCGACAAUGGGGUCCUUCACCCCAUGGAAAUCCGGCGCACCACUGCUCCUGAAGUCCUUGAAGGACAGUGUGCGAGAUCCUGACUGGCUAGAGGCCAAGUCGCUCCUGAAUGCCCGUAGGCGAUCCUCCAUCAUCUCCACGAUCCCUUCCUUGAUCGACCCAAAGAUGAUGGGGGUCGACUCAAGGAUGCCCCUAGUGAUCUCCGACGUGAUGAACUCACGUAGCCUCUCCUCAAUCGGCUCGGUGCCAGAUCCCGAACCUGACCCCUCUCCUGACCCGCCAUCUGUCGGUCUCGGUCGAAGUACCACCAUUCUGCAAAACAUCAAUAAUAAUCAUUAGUGGUACUGCUACUUUCUGAGGGAUCUCAACUACUUACAGGUUCCUUGGUCUCGUCUUGGCCUUCCUCGGCUCGGGUACGGAUCCUCUGCUUUCAGUAGUACGGGCCCAUACUACCUUCCACAUCUAUCCGUACCUUCUCCGAGGAAUUCCUCGACUCCACCAACUCCCCUCUACUACUGCUACUCUCCGAUAUUCUCACCCUAGGCUUGCCCUAGGGAGAACUCAAGUUCAACACAACUGGUCCUCAGCUGCUGUAGGUCUCCUCAUAAUGCCAGUUAGCCACCACCUAAACACCACCACCUGUGAUGAGGAUUAGAUCAUCCUUCAAGUAAAAGGCCCGUCCCUACAACGGUUGGACUCAAACAAGAGCUGCGCAAUAGGGCCAGUUCCAACACUUUGGGAUUAUUCAACCCCGAUUACAUGUGGUGUGACGUGUUUACCUAGUGGCUCACUCCCAUUACUCAGAAUCCCACCGAGCACGAAGCAAGCAGCAUUCGGAUAAGGAAAAACAGACUCAAGCCAAAACUGUUCUUAGAACAAGAAACGACACUUAACAUAGGAUGCUAAGCUCAUACUAUCAGGCAUAACCUAAACAGGCUACCCUACUGCUGUCUACUCAAUUCUAGCAUGCAAUAUUCAAUAAGCUGUAACAAAUAAACAGGCACAUAAGGCAUCACUCCUAGAUCCUUAGCCUAUUCUAGCAUGCAAUAUUCAUAAAGCUGAUAAACAUAACAUAAACUUGUAUGGGUACUAUGGGGAAUACUUACUUGAGCUCGGCCGGUCGCGCACGUCACACACUUUACUCUUUCUCGUGACUCUUUUCCGGGUUUUAAAGAAUAAUUUCUUUUGGAAAAAUCUUUCAAUCCCUCGGUUUGAGUCCAAACACUCCCGAAGGCGUGUCCGAAUCCCUCAAACCAGGGCUCUGAUACCAACUUGUAACGACCCAAAUUUUUUUUUUUUUUUGAUAUUACUUUAGAAAACAUUAAUAAAUAAAAACAUUGUCUAAAUAAAAAGAAACAUUGUUUGUUCACACCAUAACACAUUGCAACCAUGUUCUCAAAAGCCAAACCGUACAUCCCAUCAAAUAUCAGAGUACAAUCCCAGUAAAUCUCAUAAAUGCGGAAACCGAAGAGUGUGUGUAUGACGUGCCGCUACCGCGCCGGCUCCUUCCCCUUCGAUGCAGAGGUACCUGAAAACAAAACUGUAAACGUAAGCACAAAGCUUAGUGAGUUCCCCCAACGUACCGCAUACCAUACAAACACAUAACAUAUAUACUGCCAGGCUAUUCUGGGGUGCCUGACUACCCGGUACGGCCAUUCUGGGGUGCCGACCUACCCAUACGGCCAUUCUGGGGUGCCGUCUUACCCGUGUCAAGCCAUUCUGGGGUGCUGACUACCCAUCGGUCCUAACAACCGAUCCUCGGGGACUAUUUCACCCCUACUACUACGAUCACAUAUAACAUAACAAGCCAGCAUGCAUACAUAUCGUCACAUACUGUCAGACGUAUCUGGGGUGUCUGACUACCCUUCGGUCCGAACAACCAAACUCUACUACUAUCACAUACAGCAUAUCAUGCUAGCAUAUAACAUGUCAGGUACUAGCGAACUUAGAUGAUAUCACAAAGACAAUCAUCUAUCAUACAACUCCUACUGGUGGGUCGGCAUUGUGGCCUUAGACCCACCGCUACUGGAAGGUAACUCACCUCAAAGUAGCUGCUGAACUGAUCGGGAACUAACUGACUGCUGCUGCUCCGGGAGUCCUCCGGCUGCAAUUUCCACGACAUACUCAAUCAAACACUGCUAACUGUCCUUUAGGUAAAAUGACCAUUUUACCCCUGGAUUAACUCUAAGCCAAAGCUGGAGUCAACUUUCAGUUGACCCGACUCGCCGAGUGGAUCACCACUCGCCGAGUCCCUAGCAAACCAAUGUCCUGGGUCCCUGGUUCUACUCGUCGAGUCGGGCUAUGACUCGACGAGUUCGCCUUCUAACUGCCAUUCAACACCUUCAUCCUACUCGCCGAGUUGUAUGAACAACUCGUCGAGUUCAUCUUCAUCCGAUGAACACUUUAUGCUAAGACUCGCCGAGUUGUAUGAACAACUCGCCGAGUCUGUUCUUGAGCUAUGAAGAUUGCCUUGGACUCGCCGAGUCAGGGCAUUGACUCGCCGAGUCCUAACAUGGGUGAGUUCAGCUCCCAACUCACCGAGUCACCCCCUGUGACUCAAGGCUCAACUCGACACAUGAAGAAGGGACCAAUUCGGUGACUCGCGACCAGACUCGCCGAGUCACCUAUGCGACUCGCCGAGUCGUCGCCAUGCACUCCUUAAAUAUACCGAUUUGCUCGGUUCCAGACCAUGCCAUUCAUAGAUCUGGACUUCUAGGACACGAAUCACACGUAAAGUU